UCGGGAUAGCUCAGUUGGUAGAGCAGAGGACUGAAAA
rnacentral:tRNA from 1 species